GAGAGAGAGAGAGAGAGAGAGAGAGCGCCAGCAUGAGCACACAAGCUGUCGAUAGGUCUGCUAGCAGCAGCCGUGCUGCAGCGGAGAGAAAAAUCAAGAAACAAGUCAUAACAACACUGGGCACCAGGUUCUGCCAAGCGUUCAGAAAUCUGUUGGGUGCCAGAGGCCUCUGGAUAGCCUAGGCUAAGAUGUCACGCAAGGUGGCACAGGCAGUUCCCAAGGGAAGGACGUGGGAAUGGGUGGGGGCAGGAGUGAGUACAGGAGUUGGUGGGGUGGCAGUGGAAGGCUUAAUCAGAGUGGAUUCUGGAACAUUCAGGACUGCGGCACCUUGUAUCUGGACAGGGAUUUGGAACUGCGCAGGAGACGACUGGUGGUCCAGUGGGGCUUAAGGACUUGAUGGCGUAACCCACUUCUUCCACAUUUGGCUGAAGCCCUCUUUCCCUACCUGGAGAUUUGUUGGGGAUGUAAAAUGAGAGAAUAGCAGGUGACUGGCAAAUGAGGGGAGGACUAUAUACUUCUAAGUUGUUACAGCAAGAAAAGAGAGGACUAUCUCAGGAGUUUGACCUCAAGCCUGCAAAGCAGUGGUGUUCCACCAGGGUGGCUCUGUACUUUCUGAUGUUGUUGACUCCUGUGGGAGGGGAAUCUGACCACCCUGAUGCCCCUCAUCCCCAGUACUGCGCUGUGGAGCCAAUGGAGUGACAACAGCCAAACUCUAUAGAGUACAGUUCCAUCUAUGAGUAGAUGACAAUCUCUUGGCAACUCAGGCUCAGCUGAGGAUGAUAUUUGUGCAUCUAAGACAUCAUACUAGAGCAGUUUGCCUGCAUUUUUGUGGAACAGCAAGGAGAACCUGCUUGACCAACCUGUUUUCUAUGGAUGCUGAUAGCUGAAAAGUCAUGCUGGAUAAGGUUCCCGAGGUGGGAUGAGGGCCAGUAAGAUGCCAAGGAAAGACUUGGAGCACUCCAUGUGGCCAAAGCUCAAAUCCUAAUGGCCUUGGAUAUCUAAGACCUUGGAUGUCACUCUACUAGGUAAGAAAGGCCAGAGUUGGCACAGAGAAGAGGGGACACUGCCUCUGGCCACUGGCUGCUCUCCAAAACAGGUGAACUUUAUGUUUGAAAGGAAUGCAUUUUAUUUUUUGGGCCUAAUAGAAGCUACUUGUAUUUUCUCUCUUCUUGCCUCUCCUUUCUCUCCUUUGCUCUUCCCUCACCCUUCCUGUUUCCUCAACUACCAAAGAAUUUAAUCUGCUGCACAACAAACAAUACAGUUAUAAAAAUUUGAAAACAAGAGGGUGUAGCCUCUUGGGAAAGGGCAUACUGGGUAAUGUCCCCAGGGAACAUGCCAGGCUUGUAUAGAGCCUGUGAGAGCCUAAUUGACUGGGUACCUGGGUGCCUGCUCUGCCCAGUGCUAAGCUAUCCCUAGUCCAGAGGAGAAGGAAUCCAAAUAAAAGAGGUCAGAGAAGAGCUUAUAAAAGGGAAGUUGUAUGUUUUCUCUCUCUAAUUUGAUGGGAAUGGCCCUAAACUGUGCAACUUCCUCCUCUGCUUCCUCUCUCCUCCUUUUCCAUUUUCUCCCUCCUACCUCCCUUAAUCCUCUACCUCCUCCUUCUCAUUGUUCUUGAGAGUAGCAGACAGAAGUAAUGAUAAUAGAAAAGGGUUAGAAUAGCAAUGUAGUUGCUACUACUGCCUGGGCCUGCCAAAGAUGAAACUGGAAUUGAGGCUCUUGCUGCCUACAGGCUCAGGUCUAUCUCUGCGAAGCCGUCUCCUUCUCUGACCUGCCUAGGGCAGUACAGCCACAUACACAUCGUAAUGUGCCCAGUCUAUAUACUGUUAGGUAUGUACCCAGGUACUGGGUAGAACUACCACAGAGUUCAGUGGGUCCACCCUGUCUUCCUUAGGGCUGUGCUGAGGAUGGCAAAUUGAUAUGAUCUCUGCUAUGAGUGGUUUUGCCGUCUACAGGAAGAGCAAGGCUUGUUGCAUAGAACUUUGUUGUUGAGAACUCCUGAGAACCCAGUGAGUAAGCACAUGGUCUGGUGAGUAUGGCACAAGAUGGGAUAUUAUGCCUGUCUCUUAUCUCAAGAAACAAGUAACUUUGUUUCUUAGUAGUAGGAGGAAGAACAGAGCAGUCCUGGCUAAGUGAGAGGUAGGGAAGUUGGUCUUGAGUAUCUCUGUCCUGACCUGAUUACACUGGUAUCUCCUUACUGAAUCUGUCUCCUCUGAGCCAUAAUGGAGUGGGGUGUUUGGAUCUAGGACCAUGAACUUUGAUAGGCAUUAGGAGACUAUGGACAGGCUUAUCUUUUCUCUCGUGGAAAGCUUCAACUUCCACAAAGGUGGUCUUUUGCCUGAGAGCAAAGCCUUCUGCUACAGUCAGGGUACAUUGCACUCUGGCCUUCACGCUGCUCUUACCUCCUCCUCUCCUUGCACACCAUGUGUGUUUCGUCCCAGAAGGCAGUGUGGUACCAUGCCUUGUCUAGCCCAGAUACUGUGCCAGGACCUUAGUGCUCUGUACAGAAUUCUGCUGCAUUUGGGAGCUUUUGAGAACCAAGACUUAUUCAUUAGCAUUAAGGAAGCGGGCAGAAAACCUAACUUUUAGGAAUGUUGUUGUCCGGGAACAUAGGUGUCCUUGUCUCUGAUUCAGUGGAGCCAGGAGAACCAGCGCUGGCCCCCACAGGCUUCUGAAGCCUUUACUUCUCCCUUAGUUACCCAAGUUACUUGAGGGACAUGCUGAAUCUCCGAGGAUAUUAUGCCCACUUUCGGAGUCAGUGGUCACUGAUUUUAGGCUAACAAGCUCCAAAUUCCCCUUUACUAAUGGAUCCUCAACAUAUACUCCUCAUUGUAUUACCCUUUCCUCUGAUUCACUCGCUACAGCUUGCUGGCAACAUGCUCUGCCUACCCUGACAGCUAAAGACAAAAUGUCCUGGAUGCUGGGCCUAGGCUGCUGCCGAGAGUAACAAGCCUGGCACCCUCUUCAAUGCACAUAUGCAGAUGAUCUUUUUUGGAAGUAAGAUGUUCCUUUUGCUUUCAAAAAAGACCUUCCAUAGCCUUCUCUCCCAAAGAUGAGUUCUUCUAACUGGUGGGAACUCCUAAAUCAGUCUUCAGAGGCAGGCAAAGAAAUGGAUGGCAGGCUUCUGGCACCCUCCCCCACCCUGGCUGGAAUUCUCAUCAUGCACAUAGCUGUGACUCAGCACUCACUGCUGGGUCAGGAGGGAGAAGCUAUUGCCUGGCUGGAACCUCCCCACAUUCUGCAUGUGAGCUCAUCAAACAGCACAGGCUGGGCCAGCAGGGUGAGGUUCCCGGGGCAAGUAUUUUCUCCUCUAACCCAAAUUCUUCCCACAUUUUAGGGAUUUCUGUUCUGGGCCCAGGAUAUUUAGGAUUCUAAAAACCAUUUCAUCAGUCACAGACUAAAGUAUAAGUAGCCUUUUUCUUCUUUGCUUUUAACCAGUGGUUCAUGAAAAGUGUUUAACCUUUAGUUGUACUGUUUAGCUUUCAUGGGUUGGGUUUUCUAUGUGUUAAUUUUACAUCUAGACAGAAUAUGACUUUUCCAGAUUACUGUACCUCUCUUGCAUGCUGUUGUUGCCUCUGGCUGUGCAUGUGCGUGUGUUCUGACCAGUUUUCCCUAGCUUCUCUUUACAGAUGAAGACAUUGAAGCCAUUCAGGACUAUGGCAGGGCCCUGUUCUCAGCAUGUAGGCAAGCAGGUGUUCUAAUUUGCCAUGGAGUAACAUUGCCUCUAUUCCUCUGGCCCCUGCCUUACCAAAGGAGUGACCUGUCAUUGGAGGGUAGAAUGGCUUCCAGAGAGAAGUAAGUAUAGGAACAGAUGGAGGCUGGAGAGUGGUGUCUCAGACUUCUUCCCUGACCUGUGGCCUGUUCAGAGCUGCUAAGUGAGACAGGGUUUCUUUUCUAGACAACCCCAUCAAAACCAGUAACUUAAAAUUUACUUGAAGCCACAUAGUUGAGGAGGGAGAUCCCAUUAUUCUCACCGAGAGCAGAGUCCUAACAGCCCUAAGGUUUUCAUGGGUUGCCCUCUUAGACAUUCAGGUGACUCUCAGGCCUGGUGCCAGAGAACUAGUCUUCCAGACUUUAUCAAAUCAUCCAGCUAUUCCAAACUAGUGAAGAAUCACCACCUUAUUUCAGAAAAGGGACAUUGCUCAGCUGACUAUGGGAAUCCUGCUUUUAUAGGGUGCAGAAGACUGAGUGGGAUUGGAUGGGCAAAAGGUUUAGAUGCUAGGACUACUUCUUUCCUUCUUCUGUAGUUCACUGCCUAAAUCACCUACUUUCAGUGACUCUUAUUUAUCAGAAAACAGGGUUUGCAGUCUGUGGAUGUAAAUCUAGACCUUACCUUUCUUUCAUUGGUAGUUUCCCCUUGUUAGGCACUUAAAUUGCUGGGUAGGAAGAAAGGAAUUAACUUCAUGCAAUGAUAAGGACCAAGAAAAAAAAACAAAAAACCACAGGUGUUUUCUAAAUGGUAGCAAACUGGGAUAGCCUUAGGGAAUGCUUUCUAGAGCUGAGAUGGCUGAGAGAGAAGGUGGAGAGUUGCUAAAAGGAGAUACCAGCACAGGCAGAGCCUGCUGGGAGGAAGGAUGUGCCCUGGAUCCCUGCCUGAUCUCUCUCCUUAGCAUAGAGAGAUUGAGGAUGCUAGAGGAAGUUGCUAAGAAAAUUUGCCUGAAAUGGAAAUCAGAAGAGCAGAACAUUAUCAUAUGCAAAUCUCAUCUCCUUCAUUUACAGGGUUUUGACUCUCAUUUAAAACUGCCAUCUAAUCUUUUUAUGACCUAAAGCCUUCCCUAUCAUGGGCCACAGACCCUAAUUUUGGCAACCAGUGUCAGUGUCACUCAGGAACCCAGUGUAUAGGUCUGCCUGCACUCAUCUGCAUCUAAGGCCCUGGAAAGCCCCAGGAGGCUGCUGGGCCUUCUGUUUCUCCUCUGGCUGGCCUUGUUCCUGAGAAGCUAAAGCCUAUGCAGUGUCAGCAUUGCUGGGCCUCGCUGCCAUGAUCUUCUCUAUUGCUGGGAAGAAUAAAGAGGCACCAGUGGGGCAAAAGAACAAAAGCAGGCUCUCCUAGACUACCUGACCUCUUGCAGAACCAAGACCAGGUGCUCUCAUCUUCACCCGGGUCUAGCAUAUUUAAAGUGAGUCUCUCCACUCCCAUCCAGAUGGUCUGAGCUAAAUCCCUCUCCCCAGUCUAGCUCAGAGUGCAGUUCAAGAGAAAGGAGGUCACAGUCAAUCUGUGGCUCAAGCAGCAACAGAGGGAAAGGAAUAUAGACAUUAGCUCAUCAUAUCCUGUGAGUACAGUUUCUUGUGCAGAUAUCACAAUAACCUGCUUCACUGGACUCUUGGAACAAUUAAGUAUUGUGACUCUGGGGAUGCUCAUAUUAUAUUUGCUCUAUUACCCUAUAACAGUCAGGAGCCAUAAAAGGAGAUAAGCUUGUAUCUGGAGGCCAAAAAGAGUUGCUGGGGAACCUGAAAAAUACAGCUCUACUCUUUGUCUCCUUUCUCUGGGUUGUGAUGUCAGAAGAAACACAGCAAAGAGGUAGUCCAAUGUGGAAUACAGUUUGUGAAUCUAAUUUUUAGAUAAAUUAAAAAAAAUCCUUGUUUUUGUGUUAGAGGAUCUUCUGUGUAAUAGUGAUAAGAUACCAGCUUUUUAAAGUCCUUAUGGGGUAAAUCAAAUUGCUAAUGUACAGGGUCAUGAGAUGAAGAAGAGGAAGGAAUGUGUUCUUUUUGAAUACUUAUGGAAGAGCUGUCCAGGUACAGGUGAACUCACUUGGGUUCAGGUGUUAACAUCUCGUAGGUCACUGUCUUGAACAAGUGACAUGUAUCUACAGACACUAUGCAUCUUGGGAAAUAUUACAUAAAUCCAAAACAUUACAAAUGCCCAUAUGUUGAAUGGAUUUGGUUCUUUAUAGUAAUUUCUAAUGACUAAUAUGAAGUCACACAGGAAACAAUCUUUGCAUUGGUCUUGGGCGCUCAAAGUGUUGACUGUGACUCUGGUGCUUCUGAGCAGCAUUGUAUGGCUGUCAUCUGCCUCUGACAGGCACCACGCUCCUCAGGGCUGAGGCUGGUUCUUCCAACUGCACAUCUCUGCUUUCUUCACUGAGAUCCUCUUCUUCUGGAAGCUGGUUUCACAUGGUGGCUUAGAUUUUUCCAUCUUUGUAUCUAGCACCAUUUGAAAUCAGUGUUUUAGGAGUAAGAAUUGCAGCACAGCAGAGGGUAGACUACAGAGAAACAGCUGUACACGGAACUGGCUCUCUCCUUCGAGAAAUCAAGUGAAGACUUGAAUAGUGAAAUUUGCUCGAGUCUGGUUUAGAGGCAGUGAAAGUGAGAAAGUUUUGGUGUUCAGAAUAAAUGUAAGAAUGUAGUCAGGGGCAGCGAGUGAUCCACUUUAUCCUGCAUUCCACUGGUGGAGGAGGGUGCCUUGGGCCUGCACUGUUCAUUGUCCAGUAAUUUUUCGUGUGUUGAUUGUUGCAAGGAAGGGGUAAGGGCUGUGUAUGUGGAGGACUGCUUCGUUCACAUCAGUACUGCUUGCCUGUACCUGGAAGAUCCAUGGAGCAUCAGUCCUGGUUGCAGCACAGCUGAAAUCAAACUGUCACCUGCCUUGAGAUUCUGACCUGAAGAACACCACUGGUCCAUCUCUUACACAGGCUGACCGAUUUCUCCUGGUGUUCAGAGUCUGUUUUUGUCUAGCACCAUUUGAAAUCGGUUAUGAUGUAGGGGGAAAAGCACCAGCCUCAGAGCUUUGUGGUGUCUGCUCAGCAUCAGCCUGUCAUUUCCUACACAGGCAGAGCAGAAAACGAAGAUCACAGUUUCCUAACUUCUCUAAUGCAUAUGUAUUUGACUGUAAAAGUUAGAGAUCACUCAGUGGGUUUUUUUUUUUAAAGUUAUAAUUUAUUGUUGUAAAAUAUCCUGUUACAAUUUCUGACAUGUAGUACUGUUAUAAACUAGGUGCUGUUGAACUGUUAAGUGUUGACUUUAAUAAAUAAUUUGCUACAUUUAA